rnacentral:lncRNA from 1 species
GGCUGUUCAAUAUGGUAAAACCGAACCGUAUCGAAUCGAACCGAAUCGAAAUAGACAAUAUAGUUUGGUUUUGGUAUAUACCAUACAAACCGAAUCAAAGUAGACAAUAUGGUUUGGUUUUGGUAUAUACCAUACAAACCGAAUGGAUGUGAUUUUAUAAGAACCAUAGGAUUUGGAUAUGGUUUGGUUUAUAACCGAAUAAACCAAAUAAAACCGAUCAAAAGUAGAAAACAUGUAAAUAUGUAUAUAUUUUAUAACGAC